rnacentral:rRNA from 1 species
AGUAUUGGACAACGGGGGCAGCCCUGAUCCAGCCAGGCUGCGUGUGUGAAGAAGGUCUUCGGUUUGUAAAGCACUCUAAGUUGGGAGGAAGGGCUUUAGGUUAAUACCUUGAAGUUUUGACGCUACUAACCGAAUAAGCAACGGCUAACUCUGUCCGUGCAGCCGCGGUAAUACAGAGGGUGCAAGCGUUAAUCGGAAUUACUGGGCGUAAAGCGCGCGUAGGUGGUUCAGUAAGAUGGAUGUGAAAUCCCCGGGCUUAACCUGGGAACUGCUUUCAUAACUGCUGAGCUAGAGUACGGUAGAGGGUAGUGGAAUUCCCUGUGUAGCGGUGAAAUGCGUAGAUAUAGGAAGGAACACCGGUGGCGAAGGCGACUACCUGGACAGAUACUGACACUGAGGUGCGAAAGCGUGGGGAGCAAACA